rnacentral:rRNA from 1 species
GACGAACGCUGGCGGCGUGCCUAAUACAUGCAAGUAGGACGCAGUUGCGAACGGGUGAGUAACGCGUAGGUAACUACCUAUUAGAGGGGGAUAACUAUUGGAAACGAUAGCUAAUACCGCAUACUAGUAGAUGGACCUGCGUUGUAUUAGCUAGUAGGUAGGGUAAUGGCCUACCUAGGCAACGAUACAUAGCCGACACUGUGUGGUGGUGCGGCCCACUGGGACUGGGGCACGGCCCCAACUCCGACGGGGGGCAGCAGGGGGGAAUCUUCGGCAAUGGACGAAAGUCUGACCGAGCAACGCCGCGUGAGUGAAGAAGGUUUUCGGAUCGUAAAACUCUGUUGUUAGAGAAGCGGUAUUUAACCAGAAAGGGACGGCUAACUACGUGCCAGCAGCCGCGGUAAUUC